GCUUAACACAUGCAAGUCGAACGGAAAGGCCCUGCUUUUGUGGGGUGCUCGAGUGGCGAACGGGUGAGUAACACGUGAGUAACCUGCCCUUGACUUUGGGAUAACUUCAGGAAACUGGGGCUAAUACCGGAUAGGAGCUCCUGCUGCAUGGUGGGGGUUGGAAAGUUUCGGCGGUUGGGGAUGGACUCGCGGCUUAUCAGCUUGUUGGUGGGGUAGUGGCUUACCAAGGCUUUGACGGGUAGCCGGCCUGAGAGGGUGACCGGCCACAUUGGGACUGAGAUACGGCCCAGACUCCUACGGGAGGCAGCAGUGGGGAAUAUUGCACAAUGGGCGGAAGCCUGAUGCAGCAACGCCGCGUGCGGGAUGACGGCCUUCGGGUUGUAAACCGCUUUCGCCUGUGACGAAGCGUGAGUGACGGUAAUGGGUAAAGAAGCACCGGCUAACUACGUGCCAGCAGCCGCGGUGAUACGUAGGGUGCGAGCGUUGUCCGGAUUUAUUGGGCGUAAAGGGCUCGUAGGUGGUUGAUCGCGUCGGAAGUGUAAUCUUGGGGCUUAACCCUGAGCGUGCUUUCGAUACGGGUUGACUUGAGGAAGGUAGGGGAGAAUGGAAUUCCUGGUGGAGCGGUGGAAUGCGCAGAUAUCAGGAGGAACACCAGUGGCGAAGGCGGUUCUCUGGGCCUUUCCUGACGCUGAGGAGCGAAAGCGUGGGGAGCGAACAGGCUUAGAUACCCUGGUAGUCCACGCUGUAAACGGUGGGUACUAGGUGUGGGGUCCAUUCCACGGGUUCCGUGCCGUAGCUAACGCUUUAAGUACCCCGCCUGGGGAGUACGGCCGCAAGGCUAAAACUCAAAGGAAUUGACGGGGCCCCGCACAAGCGGCGGAGCAUGCGGAUUAAUUCGAUGCAACGCGUAGAACCUUACCUGGGUUUGACAUGGAUCGGGAGUGCUCAGAGAUGGGUGUGCCUCUUUUGGGGUCGGUUCACAGGUGGUGCAUGGCUGUCGUCAGCUCGUGUCGUGAGAUGUUGGGUUAAGUCCCGCAACGAGCGCAACCCUUGUUCACUGUUGCCAGCACGUUAUGGUGGGGACUCAGUGGAGACCGCCGGGGUCAACUCGGAGGAAGGUGGGGAUGACGUCAAGUCAUCAUGCCCCUUAUGUCCAGGGCUUCACGCAUGCUACAAUGGCUGGUACAGAGAGUGGCGAGCCUGUGAGGGUGAGCGAAUCUCGGAAAGCCGGUCUCAGUUCGGAUUGGGGUCUGCAACUCGACCUCAUGAAGUCGGAGUCGCUAGUAAUCGCAGAUCAGCAACGCUGCGGUGAAUACGUUCCCGGGGCUUGUACACACCGCCCGUCAAGUCAUGAAAGUUGGUAACACCCGAAGCCGGUGGCCUAACCGUUGUGGGGGAGCCGUCGAAGGUGGGACUGGUGAUUAGGACUAA
rnacentral:rRNA from 1 species